GAAAACUUGACGUCCUUCGGUUUUUAACCGAAAGUUUUUCCUUAAUCCUCGUUCACAUUUUAAUUGCUGCUUUGUUUUGUUCCAAGCCAAGCGCUCUGACGAAGAGGUUGAUUCAGGUCUCAUUAUAUUACCAAGUUUCCAUGGGAAGAAAAUUAAAUGCUGAACCAGAUGUGACUGAAACUGUCAGGCAAGACAACCUCCUCGACUACUUGAUUAAGAAUUUUUCCAAAGUGGGCUGAAACUCAAAGAAUCAUCACUGGGGACACUUCAUCACCUCUGGUCUGAAACAUCCUGUCUUUCUAACCACUUGCAAGAGCUUUUGUUGCAGAAUGGCCAAAAAACGUUCAAAGAGCUCACUCGGCAAGAAAGAGAUUUUGAGAAAAAAGAAGCAGAAAGAAAAAAAUGUGGAUCCUCCUAUCCAAAAAGAGGUAGGUGAAAAUGAAUCGUCAGAAGUUGGAGCAGAAGUUGGAGCACAUAAAUUACUAGAAUGUCCUGUAACAAUAAAGGUGGAACCUCCAGAUCCCGAGACUGAAAAACUAUUGCAACUGGCUUAUUCUGGAUUUCAUUUUGAUGAAACGGGUGCUUUCGUUGGCCCAUCAACUUCUCAAGCCAAUCCAGAAACCGUUGCGGAAACUGCGUGCCUUGUUUCGCCCAGACAGCAGGAGACCGCUUGUAAUGAUGAUGUGUUUGAGGGAACAAGUAGUGAACUGCAGAGUGUCGAAGCGCCAAGUGCCGAUGAUUUGAUGGCUGCAGGGCCUUCAACUGCUCCACCUGGUCAGCCAAUGGAUAUCGACGACAAUACACCUGAAUUUAAGGUUGAGGGAGACUGUUUUAUUCGUAUGGCCGAUCAUAUUUUUAUUGUGAAUAAAUUAGAUCUUGUGCCAAUAGAAGAAAAUGUUGGAUUUAUUGGCUGUGGUCCAAUGGCUGAAGCUUUCAUUGCCUUUCUCAUGAUAACUGGGCAUAGGGUCUAUGGGUAUAACCGCACUGUGGAAAAAUGGAAGGAUGUUCCUGUGAUGCCAAUCGUUGUAUCAACCCCUGCUGAACUGGUGGAAAAAAUGCAAUAUUAUUUUUUGUUGCGUAUCAGGUUCCGCUGCUGUUAAAGAUAUUAUGGAAAAACCGGAGGGUGUUUUAGAGGGCAUGGAUCACCAUCCCGGAAGAGCUUACGUGGAGAUGUCAUCAGUGGAUCCAUCCACAAUAUUACGGUAUUCUGAGAAUGUGAAUGCUAGAGGUGGAACUUAUUUGACUGCACAGAUUGGGCGCUCCAGACCCGCUGCCUAUUUGGGGAACACCAUCAUCAGGGCAUCCGGUGAUCGAGAAACUUUCUGCAGGUGUCAACCGUGCUUCGUUUCUUUUUGUAGUCUUUCUAUUUAUCUGAGCUCUAAUGUUGUUACUGCAUGCAUUGGAAGCAUCUGCCAAAGUGCCAUUGAGGCAACAUCCAUAAUCACUCUUUCGGAUAUCAUGCUUGCUGCAGAUAAAAUGGGCGUUGAUAAGGCAGCCGUUUUUAACGGCCUUGAGCAGACAACUCUCAGUAAACAAUGUGAAACACUCAGCACCUCAGCAAUAAUUAUGAUGGAAGAUAGACCGGACGUCUUCACUCCCUUAAGACAUGUCAUCAAGAACCUUCGCAUGGCCAUCGACUUAAAAAAGUCAGACCUGUUCGGGACCGAGCUCCUUCUGUCUGCUCUCCAGAUCUGCAAUUCAGUGCUAAACCACUAUCCAGAGGCGAGAGAUUAUGAUGUUUCUUGUGUGUACAAGUUAAGGACUGCUCCCUAUACAAUACCAGUUCCUGAAGCCUGAACUGAUAUUUUACUCAUUGUAAUUAAUUUGUUUCCUGUUUCUACACAUGGUUUAUUUUUACAUCAGUGUGCUCAAUACACUUUGCUGUAUGCAUUCAUUUGUACGUGUUUCAAUUGCUUCAAUGUAUGUAACAAACUGAGAUUUAUGUAAUAAAAUUUAUAUUUCUUUUUUACCGAGGAAAAUCCCACAGAAGAAAAAAUGAAACGGCAGUUUUAGAAACCGGUGAUAGAAGUGAAAACUUAAAACUACAAAAUGAAUGGGAAUUUUCUUUUUCAUUUUCAAAUUAAUUUAUAUACCUAAAAUUAAAAUUUCAGUGAAACACCGAGUUUAUGUCACCCGAAUCUAUUUUACAUCCCCGUUUUUCCUGCAUUUUACGUUAUUUUCAUCAGGUUUCAGUUUUUCCAUUACUACUAAUAAUGUCGAUUCAACCCAGAUACAAAGUUUGUUAUUCAUGAAUUGCCUGUAUUUUACGUUUUCCCUGGAGCUAAAAAAAAUUAACAAUGUUCGUUUCCUUUUGUGCUUUUUUUUUUUUUUUUUGAAGCUAAUCCAUGCUGUUGAAAGUUUAUCUAUGACAGCAGAAAUGCUAUUGCUCCAUCCUGUUAAAUUAGACUAUUUUCCU